rnacentral:rRNA from 1 species
UACUCCCGCCGGCGACCGGCGCACGGGUGAGUAACACGUAUGAAACCUGCCCGUAGCAGGGGGAUAAGCGGAAGAAAUUCCGUCUAAUACCGCAUAACAACCCGAGGAGGCAUCUCCUCGGGUUUAAAGGAAGCGAUUCCGGCUACGGAUGGUCAUGCGUCGCAUUAGCUAGUUGGCGGGGUAACGGCCCACCAAGGCGACGAUGCGUAGGGGUUCUGAGAGGAAGGUCCCCCACACUGGUACUGAGACACGGACCAGACUCCUACGGAAGGCAGCAG